ensembl:snRNA U6 U6 spliceosomal RNA
GUGCACACUUUGACAGCACGCACUGCGAAAUUGGACCACUAUAGAGGAGAUUAGCAUGGCCUCAUGCGAGGACGACACCCAAAUUCACAAAGCGUUCCAGAUCUUU